ACUUUACCUGCUGGAGCCGCUCUCCGUGCACCUCGAGGAAGACCAGGUUGUUCCUGUGUUGUGCAGAGACCUUGCUUGUUGGAGUGCUGGUGUCUGUUCCUGGCAGCAAUGACAAGACCGAGUGCAGGAACAAGGAGGUGUUCUGGUACAAACCACUUGUCUGAAGUAAACAAUGUCUUUUAGGACUUUCCUAGUAUCUGAGGCACCUGCUGUUUAGAUCUGCAGCAGACUUGCUGGAUUCUGUGUGUGGAGUGUGUGAAACGUGGUUGUUCUUCUUGCAGGAUAAGAAGUUUUGCCUUCAUUGCUGUAUCUAAAACGGGGUCUGGGGCUUGUGUAAACUUCAGUGAAAUCCAAACUGAAUCCAUCAGGUUCCAUGAAACCAUUCCACCUUCACACUGCUGGA